CAAAAACAUUGCUUUAUGAAAAUAAAAUGUAAGGUUUACUCUGCCCGGUGACUUUUGGGUUAAACGGCCGCGGUAUCCUGACUGUGCUAAGGUAGCGUGAUAAUUCGUCCUUUAAUUGUGGGCUUGAACGAAUGGGUUAACGAGGGUUAUGCUGUCUCUAUUUUAGAAGUAGAAAUUGGUAUUCAGGUGAAAAAACCUGAAUCUUUUUGUAAGACAAAAAGACCCCAUAGAGCUCUGUUAAAGUUUUAUUUUGUUGAGGUUACUGGUUUUAAUUAAAUUUCAAUUAAAUAAAAUAUAACUUAACUGGGGCGGUUGAGAAAAAUUAAAUCUUUUUUUAAAGUGAAAGGCUUUAAAGCUAGUUAUUGUAGUUGAUCCUUGUUGGAGCAAAUGAAAAGCUACCUUGGGGGUAACAGACUAAUUUUUUUUGAGAGUUCAAAUUGACGAAAAAGUUUGGCACAUCGAUGUUGGCUUAGGGUACCCAAAAAGUAGUAGCAGCUUUUAAUGGUAGGUUUGUUCAACCUUUAAAACCCUACGUGAGCG
rnacentral:rRNA from 1 species